GUCUCUUUGACCAUAUGAAGAGUCUAAUCUGCCCAGUGACUAGUUUCAACGGCCGCAGUAUCCUGACUGUGCUAAGGUAGCAUAAUAAUUUGCCCUAUAAUUGAGGGCUGGAAUGAAUGAUUGAAUGGGGUAGAGCUGUCUCUAUAAAAUCAUUUAGAAUUUAUUUUUUAUGUGAAGGCACAUAAAUUUAAUUAAGGGACGAGAAGACCCUAUCGAGCUUUAAAUUUAAAUAUUUUAUUAAUAUUAUAAUUUUUGAUUGGGGCAAUCCAAGAACAAAUAAAGUUUCUUGUAUUAAUUUAGAUCCAAUAUGAUUGCUAGCAGAUUUAGUUACCGUAGGGAUAACAGCAUAAUUCUUUUUGAGAGGCCUAAUCGAAAAAAGAGUUUGUGACCUCGAUGUUGGACUAAGAUACCUAUGGGUGCAGCUGUUUAUAAGGGUUGGUCUGUUCGACCAUUAAAAUCUUACA
rnacentral:rRNA from 1 species